rnacentral:rRNA from 1 species
CUACGGGGUGCAGCAGUGAGGAAUAUUGCACAAUGGGGGGAACCCUGAUGCAGCAACGCCGCGUGGAGGAUGACGCAUUUCGGUGUGUAAACUCCUUUUAUAUGUCAAGAAAAUGACGGUAGCAUAUGAAUAAGCACCGGCUAACUCCGUGGCCAGCAGCCGCGGUAAUACGGAGGGUGCAAGCGUUACUCGGAAUCACUGGGCGUAAAGGACGCGUAGGCGGGUUGGAAAGUCAGGUGUGAAAUCCUACAGCUUAACUGUAGAACUGCACUUGAAACUUCUAAUCUAGAGUAUGGGAGGGGGAGAUGGAAUUAGUGGUGUAGGGGUAAAGUCCGUAGAUAUCACUAGGAAUACCUAAAGCGAAGGCGAUCUCCUGGAACAUUACUGACGCUAAGGCGUGAAAGCGUGGGGAGCAAACAGGAUUAGAUACCCGGGUAGUC